rnacentral:rRNA from 1 species
UACGUAGGGCGCAAGCGUUGUCCGGAAUUAUUGGGCGUAAAGAGCUCGUAGGCGGCUUGUCACGUCGGGUGUGAAAGCCCGGGGCUUAACCCCGGGUCUGCAUUCGAUACGGGCUGGCUAGAGUGUGGUAGGGGAGAUCGGAAUUCCUGGUGUAGCGGUGAAAUGCGCAGAUAUCAGGAGGAACACCGGUGGCGAAGGCGGAUCUCUGGGUCGAUACUGACGCUGAGGUGCGAAAGCGUGGGGAGCAAACAGG